UUUAUACUCCCUCCGUCCCAAAAUUCUUGUCUUGAAUUUGUCUAAAUAUGGAUAUCAAGUCAUGUUUUAGUAUUAGAUACGUUCGUAUCUAGACGAAUUUAAGACAAGAUUUUGGGACGGAGGGAGUAUGUA
rfam:Triticum aestivum genome assembly, contig: Triticum_aestivum_CS42_TGACv1_scaffold_578951_7BL